GAUGAAGAACGCAGCGAAAUGCGAUAAGUAAUGUGAAUUGCAGAAUUCAGUGAAUCAUCGAAUCUUUGAACGCACAUUGCGCCCCUUGGUAUUCCGGGGGGCAUGCCUGUUCGAGCGUCAUUACAACCCUCAAGCUCUGCUUGGUCUUGGGCGUCACCGGUCCCCGGUGUGCCUUAAAAUCAGUGGCGGCGCCAUCUGGCUCUAAGCGUAGUACAUACUCUCGCUACAGACGUCCGGUGGAUGCUGGCCAGCAACCCCCAGUUUAUCAAGGUUGACCUCGGAUCAGGUAGGGAUACCCGCUGAACUUAAGCAUAUCAAUAAGCGGAGGA
rnacentral:misc_RNA from 1 species